CCCCACCCAUCUAUUAAUAGCAGGGAGGACAUAGUGUGGGGACUCAUGGGUGGGGUCCGAGGAGGGAGAACAAUAGGUUCCCCCAUUGUAAUUUUGAGCACCUACCCACUGCACAAUGGUGGGGGACAGGGGGACGAUAGGUUCCCCAUAUCAUCUUAGGGCCCCCAAUCGCUGCUCAUGGGUGGGGGCCAGGGGGGAACAAUAGGUUCCCAUGCUUUAUUAAAUGACUCAGAACACUCUGAUUGGUUGGAUUCCAAGCCAACCAAUUAAAGUGUUGUUAUGAG